UCUAUUAAAAUCCUCUUUCCCCUUUCAAAUUCUUCCAUCCACAUGCAUGUAAAUGUAAUGUUGAGUCGACCAAGUCCUCCAAGGCUUUUACAUUACAAAUAAGUACUCCACUGCAGACAGUAGGGGGCAGCAGAGCGCUGCCUGCUGCCGGUUGGGGACUGUUUUGAUGACGUAGCUGUUGUCGUCUUGCCGUUCCGGCAAGAUCGUCGAGAUCCUCCUGUUUUACAGGUCAGUACGGUGUAUAAAAGCACAAAACAGAUGAAUAAGCAUAGCAAUCGUUAUCUCUUGUGUUUACGUUGUUUUUAGUAUGAACUAUGCAGUUUGUUCAUAGGUUUCUUACACUGUGCUAGACGUUAGCUAGCACUCCCGAUCCUCGGUCAAUGUCCACCAUUAACGUUUACGGCUGCUGGGCGCUGGUUUCACAUAUGAAGUAUUUUAUUUGUAUUUUGUUUACAAAAAAAUGUCACUAUCUUGCCAGGAUCGUUUAUUAAAUUGAGGACAGUGAACGGUUCUGUCAGUAAGAACUAUGAGAGAUUUAUCCCUGUUAAUAUAAAAGGUUUAAAUUCCCUUUUCAUAUAUUUAAUUAUUAUACUUUUUUGUUAAUAUUUCGAAGGUUUACAUUCACUGUAGGCUACGAGAGUUUUAAAUUCCCUUUUAAUGAGGAAAAUGAUGAAUUGAUGUGUGUGCUAGAUACAUUUUAUUCACUUUAUGUAAUUUGGUUACUUAGUUGAAUAUUACUGAGUGAUGUGCAAAAAGAGACUUCAUGUAAUGACUAAAAUUACUGUAUUUAUUAAAUGAACUCUGGGAAGACCGUCUAGACCAAUGGCAGCAAGUUUCCUCAGCCUCAUCAUUUCUGCUGUUUUACAGGUUUAUUACCUUUCCACAUGCCCUGUGCCUGGGGCCUGUAAGACAUAUAAGCUGGCUUGCCAACCGGCAAUAAAAGAAUAGCAGAAACAACAGCAAAAAGCUUUCGCCGUGGAAGAUACCGUUGCUAAGGAGAAGGAAUUGAGGAGGACUCUUCAACCGAUGAGGCUCGUCUUGGAAGACGGGGAAAUCCAGAGACCUGGAACGUGAAGGUCCAGAAAAGUAUGUCCAUGCCAGUCUGCAACCUGCUAAAGGUUCACUAAACUCUACUGCAGAAAAGCAGAAGACACAUCAUAAGAACAAGAUUUCUAAGUAUUUCUGGGGGAAUUUGGACUGGAGAAAUGAUUGUGAAGUCUGUGGUGGAGGGGAGCACUGUAAAGCGGCGGCGGACAGGAGCAGAUGAAUCCAGAAGAAAGACCAGUGUGAUGCCUACUGUUCUUUCAAGCCUGGAAACAUCGAAGCAGCUUCAUGGGACACAAAGCCUGCGAAGCAGAAGGACAAAGACGAUGCAGAUGAGAAGACCUUGUUGGUGCUCACUCCAAUUCCAGGCCAUACCGUGUGAGGUACAUAUCUUCAAGGACUUCUGCCAGAUGGGGAACUGGGAAAAAGCUGGGGAUCCAACAUUGCAUGACCUCCAAACAAUCAGGUAUUUUAUCAGACAUAUACAUUCUUGCACAAAUAUUGCCUUCUAUGUCAAUAGAAAUCAGUUGUGAAAAGUACCCAAGUACAUGCGCCCAAUUACUCUUCUUUUUGAAGUACUACUCCACUACAUUUAUUUUGAUGGCUUUAGUGACUAGUUACUCUGCAGAUUAUAAAUUAAAAACAUAUUCAAAAACUAGAGUAUUUUCACAGAUAAAGCCACACAGCAAAAUAUAAAGUAGUUAGAAUUAGCU